ACACAGCACCGCCACAGAACUGGGCCGCUCCUGACCAGACCGGACUAGACUGGAAUCGAUUCAACUGGAUCUAAGUGGACUGGAAUAGGCAGGGCUAGGCUUGACUGGGCUAGGUUGGACUGGGUUGGGCUGGGUUGGGCUAGGUUGGGCUGGGUUGGACUGGGUUGGGCUGGACUGGACUAUGUUGGUUAAGGCUAGGCUGGGCUGGGCUGGGCUUCAAUAGUCUGGGCUAGGUUAUGUUGGGCUGGGCUAAGUUGGGCUGGACAGGGCUAGGCUAGGCUGGGCUAAACUCGUUUAAACUAGGCCAUGUUGGUCUGGGCUAGGCUAGGUUGGGCUCGGCCAGGCUGGGCUGUAGUAAACAGUACUGUACUGUGGUGUACAUGUGUUCUUCAUGGAACACAAAUGGGACUCGCCCGAGAGAGAGGGAAUAAGAGUGGGCUAUCUCCUGGGCUAUUUUUGUGGUGGUAAUUAAUUCAGUCAUAAAUGAUUAAAGUGUGUGUGUGCGUCUCCCUGUUUGUGUGUGCGUGCAUGCCUUUUUUGUGUGUGUGUGCGCGUGUGUGCCUUUGUGUGUGUGCGUGUGUGUGUGUGUACGCGUGUGCCUGUGUGUGUGCGCGUGUGCCUGUGUGUGU